rnacentral:rRNA from 1 species
CCUACGGGUGGCAGCAGUGAGGAAUAUUGGUCAAUGGGCGCGAGCCUGAACCAGCCAAGUAGCGUGAAGGAUGACUGCCCUACGGGUUGUAAACUUCUUUUAUAAAGGAAUAAAGUGAGGCACGUGUGCCUUUUUGUAUGUACUUUAUGAAUAAGGAUCGGCUAACUCCGUGCCAGCAGCCGCGGUAAUACAGAGGAUCCGAGCGUUAUCCGGAUUUAUUGGGUUUAAAGGGCGCGUAGAUGGGUUGGUAAGUCAGUUGUGAAAGUUUGGGGCUCAACCGUAAAAUGGCAAUUGAUAAUGGCAGUCUAGAGGAAAGUAGGGGUAGGCGGAAGGCGUGGUGUAGCAGUGAAAUGCGUAGAUAGCGAGAGGAACUCGGAUGGCGAAGGCAGGUUACUAGACUGCCACUGACGUUGAGACACGAAGGUGAGGGUAGCGAACGGGAUUAGAGACCCUAGUAGUC